AAAAUGAAAGUUAUAUAUAUUUUGAGAUUUACACUAUAUAUAAUAUUACGAGUUUAUCAAGGUAUGAGACUUCCAAAUAGAAUUUGGUUUGUAUUAUUUGUUUAUUAUCAGUAUAAUAAUAGAUAUAAAAGAUAGGUAGUAAAUUCAUCUAGUUGUAAUUGUUGGCUAGAUGAGCUGUUGACCUACUUUACGUAAUUAAUUAUAGCUUAUUUAGCGUAGAUUUAUCACAGACCCUGGCGGAUCUAGAAAUUUCAUAAAGUAGGGGCCCGCUCUUGUCAUUUUUCAGUGAUUCCACAGUGGCGGAUUCAAAAGGGGUAAGAUUUUUUGUUCCCUAUAUAGUCUCCCCUUUUUGUCCUGGGUUAGGAACCUCUUUUUAAAAUGGCUUGAUCCGCCUGUGUUCCCAGGGGCGCAUGCAGGAAUUUUCGAAAGGGGGGGGGCUAACCCAGGGCACCCAGGGCAAGGGGGGGGGGUGCAAAACAUGUCCCGAUACAAAUGCAUUGAUCGGCAAAAAUAAAGGGGGGUGCGCACCCCCGGAAACCCCCCCCCCUGGAUCCGCCACUGGUUCCCUUUAUAUUCAACCAUUUUUUUUUAGAAAUAAUUAAAACCCUGCGAGGUUAUAUUAGAGAAAUUAGGUGUCAAACACCAAAGUAGGCACGGGGUUUAAGUAUGCAUUUCCCUGCAAAAAUAUUAUAUUUUUCUAUGAAAAAAUUAUUUGUUCAUUGAAUUAUUCUUAAAGGCUUUUAUAUUAUCUUUCAGAUGCACAAAAAAUUAGCUCAAUGGCGUUUAUUUUAGUUAAAUACCGACACUUCGAAAUUUGGAAACGUAUAUAUACGCCUCUUUAACAGGUCGAGAACUCUAGAUUUCUUUACGUCAGAAUAUAUUUGCAUAGUAAUUUCCCAAACACAAGGCCAAUACGGCCUUAAAAAACUGACCAAUCGAUUCAAUGAGCUACAAUGCAUUGUGGGCUACUACGAGUUUACUACAACCGAAAAACACGUGGAAUUAGUGGAAGAACUGUCAACUAAUAUAGUGUCUGGGAUUCUCAAAAUGUAUGUUUUUGUUCUGCGAAUGUGAUUAUUGUAAAAUAUAUAACAUAAUCUUUAAUUUGCAUGCUCAGAAUAAAAAAGUAUUGUUUACGGGCUUCAC
rnacentral:lncRNA from 1 species